rnacentral:rRNA from 1 species
GACGAACGCUGGCGGCGUGCUUAACACAUGCAAGUGGAGCGACGAACCGGGCUUCGGCCCGGGGCAAAGCCGCGAACGGGUGAGUAUCACGUGGGUAACCUGCCCCGAUGACCGGGACAACCCGAGGAAACUCGGGCUAAUACCGGAUGUACUCACCGCACAUCAGUGCGGUGAGCAAAGGAAGCUUCGGCCUCCGCAUUGGGAUGGGCCCGCGGCCCAUUAGCUUGUUGGUGAGGUAAAAGCUCACCAAGGCGACGAUGGGUAGCUGGUCUGAGAGGACGAUCAGCCACACUGGGACUGAGACACGGCCCAGACUCCUACGGGAGGCAGCAGUGGGGAAUCUUGCGCAAUGCGCGAAAGCGCGACGCAGCAACGCCGCGUGAGGGAAGAAGGCCUUCGGGUUGUAAACCUCUUUCAGGAGGGACGAAGGUUCAGGCGCGAAUAGCGUCCUGGACUGACGGUACCUCCAGAAGAAGCCCCGGCUAACUACGUGC